rnacentral:lncRNA from 1 species
AAAAGAUUCAUCCUAAAGUUCGAAUCCCUCUAACAAACUUCCACAACAUGUGUCCCUUUGCUUGGCAUUAUGUAAACACUGGGAAUAUUUACUGAAUGGAAACCAAACCACAAAGUUCUGCAGCCAACUUCAAAAAGAAAUUAACUCACAAAGGCCUCAGUAUACAUGGUUUUGCACAUAAUUUCUUUUGAGUAACUCAUGCUCCCGUUCACACCUCACUGCAGUAACUUCACGUGUUUCACUGAUGCAACAAAUGCAUGCAUGUAGCAAAACAAAACAUGAUACAUUUCUUUCAAUGGGGGCAGGUCACUUUUAAUAUGAGAAAUAUAUUUUGGAAUUAUUUGCUUUGUUGUUUUAUCAAAGUUGAAAUGAAAAGACAUUAAGCAAUAUCUAUAUCUUAAUAUUGUUUUUUUGAGUUGGGGUUUCACACUGUCACCCAGGCUGGAGUGCAGUGUUGUGACCACAGCUCACUGAAGCCUCAAACUCCUAGGCUCAAAUAAUCUUCCCACCUCAGCCUCCUGAGUAGCUGAGACUAUAGGCACAUGCCACUACACCAAGCUAAUUUUCUUAUUUUUAUUUUGCAAAGGCAAGGUCCCGCUUUGAUGUCCAGGCUGGGUGCCAAUCAAUCCUGACUUCAAGUGAUCCCACUGCUUUGGUCUCCCAAAGUGCUGGGAUUACAGACAUGAACCACCAUGCCCAGCUAUCCUGAGCAUAAUGAAAGGAAUGUGAUGCGAAUAUGCCCCCAUGAAUAACGCAAACUUGAAAAUUGCUGUGAACUCAAAACAUUUUUGAGGACAUUUCUUCCAAUACUUCCUUUUGUAUCGAAAGAGGGAAAGAGAAAGAGAGAAAGAACAUUUGAAAACUUCAGAAAGUGGAAACUGACAGCCACCUCUCUACAGAAAGGUAAAACUGGUGGCAUUCCUGACUGAAUACCCUUCACUCACAGGAGGCAGUGUGGAACAGUGGGAAUGAGGAGUGCUAUGGGACUUUGUAUAUCUGGUCUGGAAGCCUGUUUCUGGUACGUACAGCUAGGGUUUAUGGACAUUGGAGGUGGAAGGGGAUGGAUGAGACUCUAAAGAGGUCGCGCUGUAAGAUCUUUGUGUUAUCUUGAUUGGAGUGGUCGUCAUACCAAUCUAACAGUGAUAAAAUGAAAAUAUACAUACAUGGUAUUAAUGUCAACAUUCUGUUUUUUAUUGUAUAGAGUUCUGUAAGAUGUAACCUUUGGAAGAAACUUGAUGUAAGUUACAUGGGACUUCUCUGUACUAUCUUCCCAACUUCUAAUGAAUCUGUAAUUAUUUCAAAACUAAAAAGGUAAAAGUAGUAUUUAUUGCAAAGAGCCAGUAUUUUAAUUUAUUGUGAAUGAAUACUAUGGAAAAAUAUGAUGAAAAUAAAUUACUAGAAAACUAAAAUUAAACAAAGAUACAUAAACUGCAAAACCUUUUUGUAGAAUCAGGAAUAUCUCUCCAUUUUUAUACAUAUAAUCAGAACAAAUAUGGUAUAUGAAGAAAAUAAUUUCCAAAAGACUAUAUAUUUUUAUUAAGAGUAUACACAUAGCCAUUAAUAUUGAGAAUUGCUAAUAUACUAUUUGUCUUUCUACAAUCUCAGCUAAACAAAAUGUAUAAGUGAAAUGUGAUUUCAUUCAAUGAAAACUUAUAUGCACACUUUGAGAAUACUUUGUAUAAACACAUUUAAAGAUUUUGAUAUGAAUAAAUGCAAACAGUUCAUUUCUUCCGUUAACAUGUCUAGGCUACAUUUUAUUCACAACGUUCAUUUACUCAUAAUUAUCUGCACUAUUUCUAGGUUCCUGUUUUAGUGACACUCAUUGUGCCCAAAACAAUCUGUGGAGCUGUAUUGUUAGAAACAGAGCAAGAGCCUUUAAAGUAAUUUCAUCUAGCUCACCAUGUAUGUUUUUAACUGAUAUCCAAAAAUGAAGUAAGUGAUGAUGUGCUUUCAAAACACAACUUCAGUGAUUCCACCAGUAGCUAGUUCUAUAAAUUUAUCCUUAUUAUUAAAUUUGAAUUAUCUUUCAAUGAGAAUGAUUUUCAGAUCCAUGCAUUUCUUAUGUGUGACACAUUUUUGGUAAAAAAAAUAAAAUUCCAAACCCUUGAUUAAAUGUUUGGUGAUAACCUUUUGCAGGUGUUCAAUAACAACAUUAACACCUACCUCACUGGUAAUUGUUAUUAGCUUGCCAUAAAACCAGAUUCCAUAAAUUCUCAAAGUUUCAUUUUCUGUCAUUGAAAAACUUGUUUUAUUUCUACAAUGCCUAAAAAUAUUAAUAUCAUUAAAUACAUACUAUAUUCCAUAUAUAAACUGUAAAACUAGAUUCCAUAAAUUCUCAAAGUUUCAUUUUCUGUCAUUGAAAAACUUGUUCUAUUUCUACAAUACCUAAAAAUAUUAAUAUCAUUAAAUACAUAAAAAAUAUCAGAUAAACAAGUAACCCUGGCUAUCACUGAACAGCUUUAAAUUGGUAGACCAAACUGGUUUCUUAAGAAGUGAAACAUUAAAAGUUUAUUCAGUAAUUGAAGUGCUUUCCACAGAACUAUUGCUCUCCAUGAACUGCAUGGCUCUUUAUGAAAUAAUUUGAGUUCGUAAUCAGCUUCCAUAUUAUUACUUGAUAUGUAAAAUAAUCUUGAAUUUAAUGUAUUGACAUUUACUUAACUCACAAAAUUUUACCAUGCCAUCAGUGACUUUUUAAAGCUGACAUUUAAUGCCAUGCAAGAUGUUUUUGAUAAAGAAAACUGUGUUGAUUUGCAUUUUAACAAAAGCACCAUAUCUGGGUAACCAUUCAAGAAUGUUUUCUGUAAUAGAUAUUAUGCCACAGAAACAUGCAUGUGAAACGUAAUCUCUAAACUACACCAGUUGACAGUUCAUAUCAUAGGGUUCAGAUCUAGUCAGUUUACAUGAGCGAUGAAGAAAAAAGUUCCAUAAUAUCAAUAUAAUGUUGAAAAUGGACUACACUAAAAGAGUUGCCAUGUUAGCAGUAUCAGUGCAUUAGUCUAAUCACAAUGAAAAACACUUUACUAGUUUUACUUGUUCAGUGAGUUGGUCUUCUAGAUCAUCACUCAGCUCCUGAGUAUACAGUGUUACUGCAAAGUGGUAUUUGAUUGACUUUGUAAUACAGAUUCACAUUGCAUUUCCAAACAAGUAUCUUUGAUACCAUACUUCACUGUCUCAGCAAUUGUAUACAUUUUCUUUAGUUAGCAACCCAAAGUGCUGUUUUACAAUAAGACACAUAGCAUCAAUAUUCAUAUGUGAAAUGUUGAGCAUCUGCUUCUGUAGGCUUUUCAAUUAAAUACUCUUAUACAGAGAAUGUGGUUUUGAACACUUUUAUUUAUAUCUUUUAUGUAAAUACCACAUAGGUGUUCAUUGUUUCAUCCCUUCACUAUGCAAUGCAACUCCACAAAUGAGGCACCAUAGUUUUAGCAUAGUAUCAUCAAUUAUGGUUAGAAAACUGAUCUCAAUGUACUAGGAUACGUACUUCUAAGUAAAACAAGUAUGAACUCUUUUUGGUCUUUAGCUUUUCCCUACUGUUUUUCUUCACCAUUAUUUAACCUAAAAUGUCUGUAGCUGAGAAUCUAUGCCUUCUCGUAACAAGCCCAGAGAAACUUAUUUCUCUCCGUGUUAAUUGGCAUUAAACUUAAAUAAUGUAAAUUGUAUUUUCUUAGUAUAACUAAUAAUGUUACAUUAUAAUUUGAAAAACAGGCAUCAUUAAAAAGUAAAGUGCACCUAGAAAUUUUUUUAAGCAUACAAAGGCUUACAUUUUCUCAAAAUUUGACACACACUUGGGUUAUAGUGCACAAACUAACCUUAAAGUGUCAUUUGUUGCUAUGUGAUUCUGCUACAUAUGACUAGCAUACAGCUUAGAUCAUAUGUGAUCCACAACAAUUAACUGUACUAUACCCUGGUCAGAAAUAAUCCCAUUGAUCAAAAACCUUUAUGGCCUGGCAAUGUGAAAUUGCUGCAGAUAUUUUGAAAUGCUUACUCUGAAUGCUUAUAUUUAUCUUGCCUUAGAGCUCUCCACCAAUGCCAGUGCAGGAGAUCAUGCUCUGAGCAUCCAAGGUCUAGAGGGCGGAGCAAACAUUUAAAAAAUGCUGCAAACAUGUCUAGCUACAUAUUAUGAUAUCAGUAUAAAGGAAACAUACAGGGUGAUGGGAGCAAAUAUUAUAGGGAUCCUGUUUACAUUAAAGGGUCAGGAAAAGUCCUAAGGAAAGAUGAAUGGGUGAGGGCAGCCUUCUAGGCAGAAAAUGAGGAGACAUCAAAAUGCAUGUGCUCUAGGAAGGGAAAGAAGCCUAGAGUUGCUCUAGGUUGUGAGACAGAGGAAAGGCCCAGGAAAUGAACAAGAAGAAAAAGAAGAGCCCAGGCACUGUGUACCAUAAUAAUGAGGCUAGAUUUUUCCUAAAGGUUGAGAAAUGACAUUAAACAAAACAUAGCAGGUUGUGGUUGUGAGGGAAGAUAAUCAGAUUUGACCCACGUGGGACUGAUUGACGAGAACUCUGUUAGAAGGAGCCUGGGGCCCAGUGUUCCACUGAUUGUAGAGCGUAGUGGGUGGGAAAGAGACCAAACAGGAAGCCCUGUUUUUGACUUUUAUUUUAAGUUCAGGGGUAUACGUGCAGGUGUGUUACAUAGGUAAACUUGUGUCAUGGGGAUUGUUUUACCAACUAUUUCAUCACCCAGAUAUUAAGCCUAGUACCCAUUAGUAAUUUUUCCUGAUCUUCUCCCUCAUCCCACCCUCUACCUUGAAGUAGGCCCCUCAGUGUGUGUAGCUCCCCUGUGUGGGUCCAUGUGUUCUCAUCAUUUAGCUCCCACUUAUAAGGUAACAUGUGGUAUCUGGUUUUCUCUUUCUGCAUUAGUUUGCUAAGGAUAAUGACCUCCAGCUCCAUCCAUGUCCCUGCGAAGGAAAUGAUCUUUUUCUGCUUUAUGGCUUUAUAGUAUUCCAUGGUGUAUAUGUACCACAUUUUCUUUGUCCAGUCUAUCAUUGAUGGACAUCUAGGUUGAUUCCAUGUCUUUGUUAUUAUUAAUAGUGCUGCAAUGAACAUACACAUCCAUGUGUCUUUAUAAUAGAACAACUUACAGUCCUUUGGGUAUAUACCCAGUCAUAAGAUUGUUGAGUCUAACGGUAGUUCUGUCUUUAGGUCUUUCAAGAAUCACUGCACUGUCUUCCACAAUGUGUGAAUUUAUACUUCCAGCAACAGUGUAUAAGCAAACGUUCCUUUUUUAUUCCACACCCUUGCUAGCAUCUGUUUUUUUGUUUGUUUGUUUCUGAGACCGAGUGUUGCUCUGUCACUCAGGCUGGAGUGCAGUGGCGUGGUCUUGGCUCACUGCAGCCUCUGCCUCCUGGGUUUCAGCAAUUCUCCUGCCUCAGCCUCCCAAGUAGCUGGGAUUACAGGUGCAUGCCACCACGCCCAGCUAAUUUUUGUAUUUUUAGUAGAGACAGGGUUUCACCAUGUUGGCCAGGCUGGUCUCGAAUUCCUGACCUCAGGUGAUCCACCCGCCUUGGUCUACCCAAAUGCUAGGAUUAUAGGCAUGAGCCACCGCGCUCCGCCUUGACUUUUUAAUAAUAGCCAUCUGACUGGUGUGAAAAGGUAUCUCAUUGUAGUUCUGAUUUGCAUUUCUCUAAUGAUCAGUGAUGUUGAGAUUUCUUUUUCAUGUGAUUGUUGGUUGCAUGUAUACCUUCUUUGGUUCUUUUGGUUUUAUAUGAAUUUUGAAAUAAAUUUUGGACAAUUUGUUUAUACUGUGUGUGUGUCCAGUUGUGAUUGGAAUAUAUUGUAGAAACUCAAGUAAAUAUCUUCUAAUGACUCAAUGAAUUGAUUUAUUUGGGAUGCUUUAUAAAAAGUAUAACUUUUUCCUAAUGCAGAAUGUCCUAGUAGAAAUAAAAAAAUACAGUAUAUCAAUAAUUCCUAGCAUUCCCAAGGAAGGAAACAAGUAAUCGUAUUAAGUAAAAUGAUAAAAUAAUACAAGUCUUAAUGUUGAUGCCCAACAUCAAGCCAUUUUUAAGAAUCACAAGCAGUGCAGCAGUAUUAUUGCUGAUGCUUUAAAGCUGAGCCAUAUUUUCUUAGAUAUUUAUAGGAUGGCUUUGUAGGUAAAAUACAGGAGUAAAUACCUGUGCUAGGUUGUUUUAUCGUGCAGUUAUUCAUUCUUCCUUUCCUGUAAGAAAAUUAUACAUUGUUGCUCAUUGACAUCAGGCUUAAGGGGCCCCUUAUGGACAGAAUAUAUAUUCUCUGCUCCAUUGAUGUUUGACCUGACUAUGUGAUGUGCUUUAGUCAAUGGAAUAAAUGUAGGCACGAUGUAUACUGUUUUUGAGAAGAAACUUUAAAAGGUACUAAUGAAAUUUCUUUGCCUGUUUGUUUCUGCCUUCUGUAUGGGUCCUGGAAUAAAAAUAUAUGGAUGAGGAUUGCAGCUGACUUCAGCCUACAUGCAGUUUGAAUAUGAAACAGAUUCCAUACCCCUUCAGGAGGCACACGUUAUCUUCUGUGGCCUGACUCCUACCAUAUCAGUGUACUGUCACCCAGAAAACUGUUAUAGAAGAUGUCCGAGCAUAUGGAAAAGAACCUUGAACAUGGAACAAGGAGACACGGGUUCAGCCUCUGGGCAAAUAAUUGAACUGGCACAACAAAGAAAAAGAUGUCGGAAAUUGUUCAUCAAAAAACUGAGUGCUUAUCUAUGAGUAUGAAGAUUUCAUUAAUUAAUCUUAUAUGUUAUACUUUUUCACAUUACUUGAAUAUUGUUCAUAAUUGCAUACUAUCUUUAUAAUAUAAUAAAAUAUUUUCAUUUUCAAAUAUUUAACAAUUUAAACAAAUGUAAGCAAAAUAUUAAAAAUAACUUGACAUUAGUACGUGGAAUUGGGGCAAUUGCAUAAGUUUUCUCAUUCAAACAUUCAUAUAAGUACUUGAAAUCAUGAAUACAAGCAUAUUAACACUAGAGAUUUUAGAAUUCCUCCAUUAUUUCCCUAGUUUUCUAGCUAUGAUUUGAUCAAACUGUGUUUAUAAGUUCCUUUAUAUUAAAUUUAGGUGGUAAGCUAGAUUUAAAUCUUUUUGGAGAAAAAUUGUUAUUUGAUAUUAAAUGUAAUUAUUUAUUUCACUGGAAAUAUAAAAUAUAUAGCCUUCCAAGUAACAAAGGGUAAUGAAUUUAUUGUUUAAAGAGAAACGUAAAUACAGAAAAUAAAAGCUGGCCGGGUGCGGUGGCUCAUGCCUAUAAUCCCAGCACUUUCGGAGGUCGAGGCAGGAGGAUCACGAGGUCAGGAGAUAGAGACCAUCCUGGCUAAUACAGUGAAACCCUGUCUGUCUUUACUAAAACUACAAAAAAAAAAAAAAAUUAGCCACGCAUGGUGGCACGCACCUGUAGUCCCAGCUACUUGGGAGGCUGAGGCGGAGGUUGCAAUGAGCCGAGAUCACGCCACUGUACUCCAGCCUAUGUGACAGAGUGAGACUCCAUCUCAAAAAAAUAAAAUAAAAUAAAUUAAAAUAAAAUAAAUUAAAAAUAAAAGCUUAUGCUCUUUACUUUCUACAUACCAUUCUAUUUUCUUUAUUUUCAUAUUUCUAAUUUAUGGCACUUUGAGCUACAAAAUACAUUUUAAAACAUCUUUCAAAUGCCAUAAAUAUUUUUCAAUUACUGUUUAGUGAAGGCUUCAGUAACUUGUUCCUUUCUAUUUAUUUUGCGUAGAACCCUAGCUGAGAGGUUUGCAAACAAGACAAAACUUCAAUGUAAAUUUUUAAUUUGUUAUUUUGGAACAAAAAAUGGCAGCUGAUAAGCUUUUUCAAGUAGGCAUAUUCUCUUUAACAAUUUCAAAUAAAAAUCAAUUCAUGUAUAGCCUUCAAGGACAUAUGAUUUUACAAAGUAAAUCUGACGACUGUUUGUAGAAUUAUUCAAUAAAGAAAUAAUUGCUUAUUUCUGGAUAAAGCCUCUAUUGACCAAUAUUAAUUUAUUCUCAACUACCAGACACCUAGUUCCAAACCUAGAAUAAAGCUAUUCUGUCGGCUCAGAGAUAGCCUAAGCCUGCCUUUUCCUUGCCUACAAAAUUAGAUUCAAAAUUUUUACCAUAAGCAUUCCACUCCCUCCAUGAUCUUAUGCCAAUUUACAUUAGUUUGCCCCUAGAUCAAACAAACAAUCCCUUUCUUCCUCCUUCCCCCAACAGAUCAACUGCCCUACUUGCCCACGUCUUCCUCCUGCGAUGAACUCAGGCACUGGUACGCAGUAUAGACAUGGUACAGAGGAUUGUCUCAGAGAGGUUGUGCUGUUCUUUUCCCUACUUCACCCUCCCGAGUUGUGCCAUCUUGGUCAUGUUGCUUAACUUACCUGUUUCAGUUUUUCCAACUGUAAAAUAUGGAUGAUAAACUUGCCUAUCUAUCUCAUGGAGCUGUCAUGGAAAUAUAAUGCAAAGCAUUUCACUGUCUCAAUUUUGUUAUUUGAAA